rnacentral:lncRNA from 1 species
CCAUCUCUGGAGCUGACAUUUCAGUGCUUCAUCUGUUUUUGUUAUCCUUUAUUUUUCAUAUUCGGUCAGUGCUUUCAAAGGUGCUUUCUCAAGUCAUGGAUAAGAAGUAAAACUCAAGGAUAAAAUAUUAAACAUUAUCUUUUACUAAUUUCAGAUGAUCAGACUGAAACAUUUGACAUUUUACAGUUUAAAUUUCUUCUUCAAGGAAUGUUUAUCCAGGGUUCCUCUAGUUUUGUUAACUAUAUUAAGGUUCAAUUG